UUUUGUCUGAAAAUAAGGAGU
ensembl:piRNA 21ur-6719 ncRNA